UACGGGGGGUGCGAGCGUUGUCCGGAAUCACUGGGCGUAAAGGGCGCGUAGGUGGUCUUAUAAGGGUGUGGCGAAAGCCCGGGGCUCAACCCCGGGUCGGCCGUGCCGACUGUAAGACUAGAGUGCUGUAGGGGCAGGCGGAAUUCCGGGUGUAGCGGUGGAAUGCGUAGAGAUCCGGAGGAAGACCGGUGGCGAAGGCGGCCUGCUGGGCAGUUACUGACACUGAGGCGCGACAGCGUGGGGAGCAAACAGG
rnacentral:rRNA from 1 species